rfam:Trichobilharzia regenti genome assembly, scaffold: TRE_scaffold0019448
GUACUGCUGAAGAGUCCCAAACUAGUUUGACGAAACAGCUGUCCAGUAC